rnacentral:rRNA from 1 species
CGUAACAAGGUUUCCGUAGUANGUGAACACGGGCAUAAUAGCGGA